GGAAGACCAGCUUGGUGAAGCUCCUCUUGUCGUCCUCAGAGUAGCCCGUGCCGUGGAUGAUCCUCAUCUGCUUGAUGAAGGUGCUCUUGCCGCUCUCUCCCGUGCCUGCAGACAAACACCACCGGACCAGAAUCAUUCCGCUGUGGUUAUGGCUGUCGAUCCGAAUGGGAAAGCGAAAGCAGAAGGUUCAACCAAAAAGGUUAUAGUACUUAUCAGAGGGAACUUAUUGUACACCACGAAGAGGAACAUACAUAUAAUCCUACGUUUAUAAAGACGGAUGGGGAAAGGUCAAUUGUUAGAUAGAUACAAUUUAUUAUCGACAUCUUUGAUUGCUUCAAGAGAUGACGUUGAAGCCAUAUCCCUCGCUGUAUAGGGCUGUUUUUUCUGAUGGAUAACUUCCCCAAAAAAAGAGUUCGACCUUUUAAGAAUGCAUCUGCAGCAAAAUGAGCGUCUCCCUAGCUGGCAGUGGCUCAAGGCCCCAGCUGCAGUAACACCGUUACUCCAUGCUAUUAUUUCCCUCCAGUGUACUAAGCUGACAUUUUCUGUCUGGUGCUUUUGUUGAUGGUUUCAUCUGAGGCCGCUUAGGCUCAUUCCAAUACUCUAACCCAGUAGAAGUUAAUAUUUUACCACAGAAAAGGGGACCACAGGCCGCCGGGAGUGAUUCAGGCCUGGUUCUUGUAAAGCCACGUGAACCAAGCGAGGGUUUCCCAUAAAGAAGGGAGAACAAAGAAAGUAUGUUUUAUGAGAACCUUUGAAACUUUGGUUUCAGCGACUUUCAAUUGCUUGAACUGCUUUGAUUUGUUUGCACAUAAGCUAGAGAAAAACAAAUAAGCAAGAGAGAAAAGCAAAUAGAAUGAGGAGGGGCGGGGGGGAGAAAACACAAAGACAUUCUGAGUCUGUUUCAACAUACGACGGUGCGACAUGUUGACGAGUUUCAACACGUCUGUUUGACUGUGCAUUUACCUGUGCGAGCGUAUGUGCUACGUGUGUGUGUCACACACAUUAGCUCUACGGUAGCUGUCAACCCCCAGUGAAUCAAAGGUGUGUGUGUGUGUGUGUGUGUGUGUGUGUGUGUGUGUGUGUGUGUGUGUGUGUGUGUGUGUGUGUGUGUGUAUGUUGGAAAGUUUAACAUGGGCUGACAGGUCAUAUAUUUCUAUAUCUUUGAGCCUGUCCUCUAAGCACACCGACAUCACUUCCUUCAGACUCGCCUAGUGUUGGUGCAUGGAGUGGAUGCUACGCAGUGUCAUGUGAGCUGCGCUGCCAGCCUGUCAAAUUGUUCAUUUAACACAUGAAAGAAACAAGCCUUCCAUUUAUUCAUUUCAACCCCUCCUACUUUGAGCAUGAAUGAGACUGCCAAACUAUCAAAUAAGAACGACGGAAGACUAUUGCAUAUAUUCUAUAAAAAAUUAGGGCCGUAGACGUUUUAUUUACUUCCCUUUAAUUAUUUACAUAAUUAAAGGCUACAAAACCUUGUAUCUGCAAAUUCUGCAUUGUAUUUGUAUUAUUAUUUCAUUCAAGAUUAUUUUGUGCUAAUAUUGUGAUUUUUAUUGUGAAGAAGAGUUGUCACCUAGCGAUAAUGAUAUAUAACAGUGAUGUACACAAUUCAAUUCAGAGAAUUCCCUUAGGAACAUAGAUAAUCUUCAUUAUCUUUUGUAUACAUUUUGCCUUCGACUUCAUGUCUUCGCUUUGGCAAAUAAUUGAGAUGAUACUGAAACUGCAUUGGUUUAUGCUUAUAUGUAAUCAUCACGCAAUGAUGGAGCCGUUUGUAAAACCAUGACUGAUUGGCGAUUUGUUGGAAAGCUGGGCAAUGAGAGGAGAGGAAAUGUUGACUGGUAGGAAUUAAGAUGGAAGUUUAACUCAACUGAGAUAACGUGAUUAGCUUUUAAAACGCUGCAUGUUUAGUAUAACUAGUGGCAUACAGGAGGUCCACCAGUGCACAAAGAGGAUGUGAAAACCCACUGCUCAUAUGCUUCGUAGCCUGAACGGAGUCACAUGGAGAGAGCACCACUUUGGGGUUUGAAAAGCGGUUGCAGAGUGCUGUACCACUUUAUACAGACAACCGACAUGAUGUGCCGGAGCAGAGUUAUAACAUAUUAUCUUUUUUCUGUGAUUCUUAAUUUGCCCAUUGUAAUACAUAAAUGAUUCCCAGAAUGCAGAGCGCUGUAACAGCACAAUGGGAGCCACAUGUUUUAUAGGAAGUAGAGAGUACUCUGCAUUUGAUGCUUAGUCUGAAAGACAUCUAGUGAAUUAGAUUGCAAGACUGUAUCACACCGCCCUACUCUAUGUAACCAUAAGCAAAUGUUGAAUACAAUAUUACAGCAUGUCACAGCGUGUUUUUGGGGUUGUUUAGUUGACGUUCUAUUUUUAAAACUGUUCAACAUAUAGGAUUUUUGUUUGUUUUAUGACUACUUGGUGGCCAUAUUAGCACUGAAAUUGUGCACCAAAGCUCAGUCCAAAUGGCUAAAUGAGUAGAAAAUAUUGCAAGGCUUAGAGAAGAACAUAAAAUGGGCUGCCAGUAGGCUAUAUUGAAUUACACAUCAUCAAUAUGAAUUAAAUAGGGAUUACGUCUGCUCUCUGUGUGUCUCUUGCGGGUCAGUGUGCAGUGUUUGAUCUAAGAACACAGCCACACAUCCCAUUUGGUUUGACUCACUGAAACAACAUCCAUAUGCGUCAAGUCUUAGUGCCCCAGGUAUCACAUCAAGUUGACACCUUCAUUGAUUCCUGCUUUAAUAUUGAACUUGCAAGGCAGGCUGGAUGUCCAGUACAUACAUACAUUCUGAACUUCAAUGACAGGGAUGGAUGAGGUCGAUGCUGAGUUUGAUGUCCUCCUAAACCCUACUACGGUUAAGAUAAGUAGACUGAAUGGGGUCUUGUGAUGACGAUGAAUGGAGUGACUGAAGUUCCAUCAUGGGUGCAGUCAUCUAUUAUAUCUUCCCUAAAUAACUUAUUGGAAGGGAACAUAAAAAAAUUGUUUUUAACGUGGAUC